GGUCUAUCAGGCUGUUGGUGGUGUAACGGACCACCAAACCUACGACGGGUACAGGCGAUGGGAGUCGGAGCCUGGAGAUGGGGACUGAGACAAGGCCCCAGGCCCUACGGGGCGCAGCAGGCGCGAAAACUCCGCAAUGCGCGUAAGCGUGACGGGGGGACCCCAAGUGCCGUUGGUCUUUUGAUCGACGGCUUUUAGGAAGUCUAUGAAGCUUCCAGAAUAAGGGCUGGGUAAGACUGGUGCCAGCCGCCGCGGUAACACCAGCAGCCCAAGUGGUGGCCACGAUUAUUGGGCCUAAAGCGCUCGUAGCCGGGUCAGCAAGUCCCUUGUGAAAUCGGGCCGCCUAACGGUUCGGCGUGCAAGGGAUACUGUUGGUCUUGAGGCCGGGAGAGGUCGGAGGUACUCCUGGGGUAGCGGUGAAAUGCUCUAAUCCUGGGGGGACCACCAGUGGCGAAGGCGUCCGACCAGAACGGACCUGACGGUGAGGGGCGAAGGCUAGGGGAGCGAACGGGAUUAGAUACCCCGGUAGUCCUAGCUGUAAAGCAUGCGGGCCAGGUGUCUAGCGCUCCUCGAGGGCGCUAGGUGCCGGAGGGAAGCCGUUAAGCCCGCCGCCUGGGAAGUACGGCCGCAAGGUUGAAAC
rnacentral:rRNA from 1 species